rnacentral:rRNA from 1 species
UAGGGAAUCUUCCGCAAUGGACGCAAGUCUGACGGAGCAACGCCGCGUGAGUGAAGAAGGAUUUCGGUUCGUAAAACUCUGUUGUUAGAGAAGAACAGCGCAUAGAGUAACUGUUAUGCGUGUGACGGUAUCUAACCAGAAAGCCACGGCUAACUACGUGCCAGCAGCCGCGGUAAUACGUAGGUGGCAAGCGUUGUCCGGAUUUAUUGGGCGUAAAGCGAGCGCAGGCGGUCAAUUAAGUCUGAUGUGAAAGCCCCCGGCUCAACCGGGGAGGGGCAAUGGAAACUGGUUGACUUGAGUGCAGAAGAGGAGAGUGGAAUUCCAUGUGUAACGGUGAAAUGCGUAGAUAUAUGGAGGAACACCAGUGGCGAAGGCGACUCUCUGGUCUGUAACUGACGCUGAGGCUCGAAAGCGUGGGUAGCAAACAGG